GAUGAACGCUGGCGGCGUGCUUAGCACAUGCAAGUCGAACGGAAAGGCUCCUGCUUGCAGGGGUACUCGAGUGGCGAACGGGUGAGUAACACGUGGGUGAUCUGCCCUGCACUUCGGGAUAAGCCUGGGAAACUGGGUCUAAUACCGGAUAGGGCCACAUUUUGGAUGGUGUGGUGGAAAGUUUUUCGGUGUGGGAUGAGCUCGCGGCCUAUCAGCUUGUUGGUGGGGUAAUGGCCUACCAAGGCGUCGACGGGUAGCCGGCCUGAGAGGGUGUACGGCCACAUUGGGACUGAGAUACGGCCCAGACUCCUACGGGAGGCAGCAGUGGGGAAUAUUGCACAAUGGGCGCAAGCCUGAUGCAGCGACGCCGCGUGGGGGAUGACGGCCUUCGGGUUGUAAACUCCUUUCGCUAGGGACGAAGCGUUUUUGUGACGGUACCUGGAGAAGAAGCACCGGCUAACUACGUG
rnacentral:rRNA from 1 species